rnacentral:lncRNA from 12 species
UCUUUUAUAGUUGAAAUUUAUCAUUUCAUUUCUCAAUUGAAUUCAUAUUUUAUCCUUUACGCUUGAAAGCUUUUUACUAAUCACUCUGCAAUGAAAGUGCCGUCCACUGGAGAGUACCUGGACUCUGUGUUUGAAGAUCUCUGUCUAAGAAAUUCACCAUAGGAAUGUGAGCUACAUCUGGCAUGACCUCAGUUGGUGUCAAGAUUUCAAAAGCCCAUGUAAUACGUCACACAUUCCUGACUCAAAAUCCUUGCCUACCAUGUAAAGGGGUUUGCACGUUACAAAGAGCCUGGAAGAAACGGCCGGGGCACACUCUGAAGAUUUCCCUAAAAUGAAGCUCUCGGUAAGAUAAAAGAACGCCUGCCUCUUUCAUCACGGACAUGUAGAGAGAGAGUGGAUCUGGAAAACAAAUUUAUACUUUUUCUGGAAAUGGGAAUCACUCAUAAAACACUUCAUGAGUUCAAGGUCCCCUUGUUGCCAUUGUGCCUCCUAUUCAUAUGGACUGUGAACAACCCAGAGGUAGUUGGACUAGUGGCAUGUUAUUGGAUGACUCUGCUUCAAAUUUGAAGAAUUUAUGAAAACUCUGAGUGCCAGACAAAAAUAGACAUUAAAAGGGUGAGAUUAAUAUUCAGCAAUCACAAUGUAUAAUUAAAGAGAAAAUGAAAUGAACUGUUUAUGCAGGCAUAGUGAGUUGCUUUAAUAUCACAAUAGACCUGAAAGUCUGUGGCAAGUUUUAAAGAUUUUGCUCAGAAGUGUAGAGCCCCUCUGAGGUGCUCUCACAAGUUAUAACCCCCAUCGACAUUUUUAUGCAUGUCGUGAACUUGUUUACCAGCUGCACGUAUGUACGAUGUUCAGAUGUCUCCUGGUGCUGCUUGUCUCCCUCUGUGCAUCUUUGUGCACUAUACAUCCUCAUUAAUUUUGGAAGGAAUUUUUAAAGAGUGUUCAACUAACACUUCUAAUUAGUAACCGAUUUAUUUUUUUUUAGGUGUCGGAGUGCAAAGCUCAUUGAAACAACCCCCAGAUGGUUGGAUUUUACUCUAAAAACAAUUCCUGAUAAGAAAAAGACUAACUGAUGUUUUGAUGUCUCAGUGAGUCUUCCAACUCAGUUAAAAUUCUCUCCCUGCUUUCUAAACUCUGUUCUCCAUCUCUAAACUUUAGACCUGUGGCAAACCAACCAGCUUCACUUUGUCUAAAAGACCAUCAAUCUGCAUUUUAUUGUCAGAGUCAUAGCCUGGCUGAAUUUGUAUUGACAUCCCCCCACCUUGCCCCCUCUACCAGAUGAACUCUGUGAUGAUUUUGCAGGGCAGGGGUUGGGGGCGCUCUGUAAGGUGGAUA